rnacentral:lncRNA from 1 species
AGCUUCCUUUUCCGGUUGCCAUCCUUGCCAUCCGCUGUCAUGCCUCUCCACCGCCACGCUUCCCCAUCAUUAUGGAGAUGGACUUGUCCUGGAACCAUAAGCCAAAUAAAGCCUUCCUUCUCCAAGUCUGCUUGAACCAAUAUUGCAACUGAAAUUUGUCGAAGGCCGAGGCAUUUGCUGAAACAGGAAAUGGAGAACAUUACAGCAGAGUGGAGCCCUUUUGUUUUCAGGUCGGAGCUGUUGUGUUUGUAAAGAAAAGGAAGCAGAGAACAGGCUGGCACUGGUAUCAUUAUUUCCCCCUUCCUGAAUAUUUCCUACCAAGCAACUGCUUUGGAAAUAACAAAAUGAUUUCACUAUGGAAAAAAUGCCGAGAAAAGAAUCCGGGGCUGUCUGAUUGGCUAAUAAUGAACAUAAAGGACGUCGUGCUUGUUGAAUGGCAGAUUGAAAUCCGGCUAGUUGGUGAGAACGUCUGUCUAGUUGGUGAGAACGUCUGUCCAUUUUUACUGAACCUGCUGACUUCCCAGAGUUCCAUUGGUGGCUUUCUGGAUUGCCUUAGGUCUUGCUUCAGGACAACGGAAUGGGAGCAAUAAAACAAAAAGAAGUUAUAUUUACAAUCUCAGACUGAUAAAAAUUUAUAGCUAAGAAGACCCACAGAGAUUAACUGGGCCUGCUUACCCUAUUCCACCGUUUGCAUUGAGGAGAGACAGAAAUCAGAGGUCAAUGGACUUUCCCAGGAUGCAAUAGUUCAUGUGUGUUCAGCCUGAAUUGUCUGCGCCCCAUGUGUGCAUCCAGGGACAACAGGGAAGAGUCCUGGAUCCCCUGGGACUGGAGUUACAGACAGCUGGAAGCUACCACAGGGGUGCUGGAAACCUAACCAAGACCCUCUGCAAGAGCAGUAAGUGCUCUCAGUAGCUGAGCUGGCUCUCCAAGCUCACCUUGAUGGACUUAGUCCAGGGGAGUUGACCUUCCCUUCACUUGUGGCAGUGUAGUUUGUACAUGAUCACAGUAGUCUCAGUCUCCAGUCAACAGGACAGAAACUGCCAAACUGGAAGUUUUUCCAGUAUUGGAAAUACAACUGUGAGACCCAGUGCCUGGAAUUCCUGGCACAAGAACACUUUCCCCAGAUUGCUUUAUAAUUAUUUCUUCAAGUGUCUGCCUCCCGACUAACGUGACAUGUGGAGCGAGUCACCGGUCAGAGUCUUCCUUGUCUCCAAAAGCGCUUGGCAUGAUGCCUGAUAGCAAAUAUUUAUCAAGAACCAUCUGGGUGCCAAAGAACUACUCCAGGGACCGCAGAAACUGCAAGGGAAACACUCCUGCCCUCGCUGAGAAUAUUGGAGGGGAAGUACAGAAUCAACUCAAGACCCCCAAAUAAGUCAUGAAAAUGGCAGAUACCCUUGCGUGGCCAUUCGAUGCCUACAUUUGGACACUGUGUAAGGACUAAGUCUUUUUGUUCUAAUGAAGAUGUUUCAUGAGUUUUGCCUCUGCAUUAAGUGGAUGAUGCUACUGAAGAGACAAACCCUGGAGGCAUGGAGCUGCUUCUUCCUGAACCUAGGAAUGCUCAUCCUGCUUUAAAAGCCUUCAGGUGUCAGAGGCAUGUGGAUUUCGAGUGCCGUACAACGCCGAUUGCCCAUCCUCCGCACACAUUCACCUUCUGCUAAUACUUGUUCAAGGGUCUAAGUGCCUUUGACCACAGAAAGAAGUGGUGAAACAGUGGUGGAAAAGG